rnacentral:rRNA from 1 species
UGGGGAAUCUUGGACAAUGGGGGCAACCCUGAUCCAGCGAUGCCGCGUGGGUGAAGAAGGCCUUCGGGUUGUAAAGCCCUUUAGGUUGGGACGAAGUGUAGUGAGGGAUAAUCUCAUUGCAUUGACGGUACCGACAGAAUAAGCACCGGCAAACUCUGUGCCAGCAGCCGCGGUAAUACAGAGGGUGCGAGCGUUAAUCGGAAUUACUGGGCGUAAAGGGCGCGUAGGCGGUUUAGUGGGUGUGAUGUGAAAGCCCUGGGCUUAACCUAGGAAGCGCAUCGCAAACUACUGAACUGGAGUAGAUGAGAGGGUGGCGGAAUUUCCGGUGUAGCGGUGAAAUGCGUAGAGAUCGGAAGGAACGUCAAUGGCGAAGGCAGCCACCUGGCAUCAUACUGACGCUGAGGCGCGAAAGCGUGGGGAGCGAACAGG